rnacentral:lncRNA from 1 species
CAGGCGCUCCCCAGGCCCUGCUGCAGCUGCCCCGCAGCAGUAGAGCGGGGUGCCUGAAGUUCCUGUUCUCAAUUAAUCACUGCAAUGUAUGGAACCUGCGUGGUAAUUGCCGUUAAGCCAUGCCGGCAGCUGGCUCCGGAUCGCUGCAGCAGAGGUAUAACGGAGCUGGGCUGGGGGAGCUGGGGCUGGUGGGGGCAUUGUUUGUGGUUGUGUGAGUAGCUGGCUUGCUGCUGAGUAACCUGGCUCAGGAGAGGUCUGCUCAGAGGGUGGACCUUUAAGGGAAAGGCAGCUCUGAAAGGCGAUGAAGAAGUUGGUGUGUAAGGCUCAAACCUUGCCGUGACCUUUCUGGGCCGGAGCCUUCACGUACUCUGUGUUUGUGAAUGAAGGUCUCUGAUUUACUUCAAACAGAUCACCACGGAAAGUAAUGGAUGCUGCAAGGAAGCACUGGCAGAGGAGAAGCGCAGGCUGUGAGGAAGGGCAUCAUACCUGUCCUUUGCAAUGAAGCAAGAAGGAGACUGGACUACGGGUCUGCUGCUCUCAGACUGCCAGCGUGCGCGAUCACGGAGAGAGCACCCCGUGGGCGCGCAGUGCAGUGGCACGGCAGCUUCCCAAAGGCAGACCGGGAUCGUCUGGGGAGUCUUUCCUGUGCUCGCUGUGGUAAAAUUGCUUCAAACGUUUACAGGUGCUCUCCUGGUAGGAAUCCCAGCAAGGUGAGGAGAAUGUAG